AAAUGAGACUCAAAGCCAAGGCUUGAAUGGCCUACUAGAGAACAAAAGAGGAGCGCCUUACUGCCCAAAGCCAAAACCCAGCCCAUGUGGGUGGAGAGAGGAGGAGAGUGGAUACCAGGGCUGCGAGGCGUGUAAGUUUCACAGGAAUUCAGUUUCACUCUAACAUUUAACCUCAGCGACAGUGGUGCGAAGUGUGUUCUUUCUCUCAACUUCACCUACCAGAAAGCACACGACAGACUAAAAAAAGGAUUUUACAUUGUUUUAAGGAACUUGGGAUCUAAUUAUCUUAACAUUGUCUCAGUUGGAAUUACAAGUCUCAUUCUUUGUCUUUUUCAAAUUAAUCUUGGAUUCUUACAAUCCACUGAAGAGCUAACGACUGGAAAACCAGAGACCCCUGCCAAAGCUCUUGUAUUCAAGCAACAAUUACUUGUGUUACUGGGGGUUUGCUGUUGACACACAGGACUAAGGGCCCUACUGUGGAAUUUCAAACAGUCCCUGAGCACUAAGAUCAAGUCCAGGCGAGUCUAUGUCCCAUCCGACCAAUGAGACUAUUUCAUCUGCGGUGGGGAGCGAUGAGGAGGUCCCACUUCAGAACCCUGGGGGGACACGGGACAAUGGGGAUGGGGAUGACAAUGGGAAUGACUCCAGCGGUCACGGGUGCCAGCUCUCCAUCAACCAGUGUCUCGAUUCCUGUAGCCAGCGCAUCACUUCCCUCUGGCCCUGCUGCCAUGACAGAGAGCACAGGAGAUUGGCCAUCUGGAGCACUAUCUGUGGACUGUCCUGUGUUGGAUGCACAGCUUUGAUUUAUUCUGUCAAGGCGCAGGAAAGAAGAGAGACUGACCCAGAGAAGGCACAGCUCUUUUCCGACAAGGCCAGGUGUCAUGCUAUAGUGUCCAUCAUGCUUUGUCUGGCUAUUCCUGUCCUCGUCGUGGUUCUGGUGUUCGGGGCAUCUUAUGUUCUCACUUUAAUAGACUAAGACAAAGUUUGGCCUUCUGUUUCUGGUUGAAGACACAAGACGCAGGAGAAAACUUUGCUGAAAUGCAUUAAAGUUACUCAAGGAAGCCCAACCGCCAACAUUCAAGGAUAUGACUGAAAUGAGCACUAAUGUCAGUUACAUUACAAUAACAAUCUGGCCAUGCACUUGAACCCACCUGAGCAUGUGACUGAAUGGCAAUUCUUUGAAGAGUGUUGCCUUUUACAGAAGAACAAACAGCUAUGCUGAGAAGUGAACCAAAGUUUAUCUCACAUUGCUGCAGGAGCAUUUCCACGAAAUUAUGUCUUGAGUGGUUCACCAGUACUUCUUCUGCAAGAGAAAUGAAAGCGGUCCAGUUCAGUGUUGCCUCUGUCCGCUCGUGUAAGCCUGAGGCUUGCUAUCUGGUUCAUAUCUGGGUGGUGCUCUAAAAUCAAGCUAAAGGAAGGUUGAUGAGCCCCGGACAAAAGAAACUGGUUUGCGUUUC